AACGAACGCUGGCGGCAUGCCUAACACAUGCAAGUCGAACGAGACCUUCGGGUCUAGUGGCGCACGGGUGCGUAACGCGUGGGAACCUGCCCUUAGGUUCGGAAUAACUCCCCGAAAGGGGUGCUAAUACCGGAUAAUGUCUUCGGACCAAAGAUUUAUCGCCCUUGGAUGGGCCCGCGUUGUAUUAGCUAGUUGGUAGGGUAAAAGCCUACCAAGGCGACGAUCCAUAGCUGGUCUGAGAGGAUGAUCAGCCACACUGGGACUGAGACCCGGCCCAGACUCCUACGGGAGGCAGCAGUGCGGAAUAUUGGACAAUGGGCGAAAGCCUGAUCCAGCAAGGCCGGGUGAGUGAUGAAGGCCUUAGGGUUGUAAAGCUCUUUUACCCGGGAUGAUACUGACAGUACCGGGAGAAUAAGCACCGGCUAACUCCGUG
rnacentral:rRNA from 1 species